rnacentral:rRNA from 1 species
GAUGAACGCUAGCGGGAGGCCUAACACAUGCAAGCCGAGCGGUAUUGUUUCUUCGGAAAUGAGAGAGCGGCGUACGGGUGCGUAACACGUGUGCAACCUGCCUUUAUCUGGGGGAUAGCCUUUCGAAAGGAAGAUUAAUACUCCAUAAUAUAUUGAACGGCAUCGUUUAAUAUUGAAAGCUCCGGCGGAUAGAGAUGGGCACGCGCAAGAUUAGCUAGUUGGUGAGGUAACGGCUCACCAAGGCGAUGAUCUUUAGGGGGCCUGAGAGGGUGAUCCCCCACACUGGUACUGAGACACGGACCAGACCCCUACGGGAGGCAGCAGUGAGGAAUAUUGAUCAAUGGGUGCAAGCCUGAACCAGCCAUCCCGCGUGAAGGACGACUGCCCUAUGGGUUGUAAACUUCUUUUGUAUAGGGAUAAACCUACCCUCGAGAGGGUAGCUGAAGGUACUAUACGAAUAAGCACCGGCUAACUCCGUG